GGCUGGUCUGAGUACAGUGGUGUUUACAACUAAUUAAUCACAACCAGUUACAGAUUUCCUUGUUCCUUCUCCACUCCCACUGUUUCACUUGACUAGCCUUUA
rnacentral:Y_RNA from 1 species